ensembl:lincRNA Gm13874 predicted gene 13874
CCUUCCAUAUCCCAAUGGGAUGACCAAAACCACCUCCAAUCAUCAGCAAGUGUCUCGGGGUAAAGGAAAGCCACCCCUUGGUAAAUUAAUGGGUCUGCAAACAUCUGAGAGCACAAACAAGAUCGGGAGCCUUCCUCCUUAUCAACGUGUAUUUAUAGGUCGCUGAUUUGCAUCUUCAGUCUUCAUAAACAAAACAAGUCACCUUCGCCUUUCUGGAACUUCUCCAUGUGCUGACAUAGCAGCUCACCUGGUGACAGCCUGCAGCAGAGUUGAAGGCCAAGGGGGGGAACUAAGCAAUCUGGACCUAGAAGAAACAAUGCUGUGAGCAGCAGAGCAUGCUGGGGGCUGAGAGCCCAUUUUAGUUUUAAACUAUUAUAAAAAGGAAGUCCCAUUUUCCCAGUUUUAACUUUGAAAACUCACAUUUUUCUAUGUUGUCAAACUUCAGUAAAUAACACUUUCAAGUGUUGAA